CUUUGAAAUAGUGGAACGUGAAUGGAAGCUGCAGUUCCUCCAACCAACUCAAACACGUUGGAGCUCCCUGUUCCUGGCUGUGGAGAGAGUUGUACGCAUUCAGAAAGAGCAAGGAGAGGCAGCAAUUCAGAAUGUCUGCACAGCACUGAAGAUAAAGAUGUUUAAUCCUGCUGAAUUUGGAUUUUUGGCUGAGUACACUGCUGUCAUGAAACCUGUUGCCAUGGCCCUCAACAUCCUUCAAGGGGAAACGUCUGUGCACAUGGGAUUUUUGCUGCCAACACUUUACCAGUUGCAGGAGAAGCUAAUAAGGCUGGAGUUAUCCUGCAAAGUCUGAAGAUCUCUAGUAGAUGCCCUGCUCAAUGGGAUUCAGAAACGUUUUGGAGGCGCCAUGGAGGACCCUGAGCUGAUUGCAGCAGCAAUACUCUUACCUCUUAUACUCUUAAGAUUUCGAACAUUGUGGACAACAAAGGAGUGCAUCUUAAAAGCUGGACUUGACUUCAUUAGAAAUCACCUAGACACAGACUCCGAUGAUGGCAGCACAAACAGCAGUCCCUCUGAUGAAGAUGACUUCUUUGCAUCCAUGAAAUCAGGAAAACCACAAGCAGGAGAGCUGGAGAGGUACCUUUCAUGUCCAUCCUCUGAAGGUAUGAAUCUACUGCACACCUUUCCUCACAUCAAGAAGCUCUCACUGAAACUCAACACUGGUCUUCCUGCAUCUGCAGCCUGCGAGAGACUUUUCAGUCAUGCAGGACUUAUGUUUACUGCUAAACGAUCACAGCUUCACAGCAAGAAUCUUGAGAGCCAGCUACUGUUGAAGCUUAACCGUCAGUUCACUGAGUGAGAACAAGCACCACACAUGCACAGACUCAAAAGUGGCAUGUACAACAAAAACACUCCUCCUAGCACACACACACAGUGUCUUCUGUCAUGUCCUCUUCUUCAUAUCAGACAUUUGCCAUAACAGUGUUGUUUUAAUGUUAUUUUCUGGUUGCCAAGCAUGCUGAGCCAUUUGGAGGGCAAAAGUUAAUCAGAAGUUUGUUUUGUGACUUGGAAUAGUUUGCAGGGUUCUCACAUACAGUACAUACAAUAUGUUGUAUGUUUUUUGUUGCUGUUAAAAGCUUUUGUUUGAAAGCUUGUACAAGUUAUUUAUAAAGAUGUCAUUUAUUUUGUUUUUUACUGAUUGUUUAGUUUAUUUUUGAAAAUACAAGAAUUUGCACAUUUUAUUUAUUUUAUUGUCUGAUUUUAUAAAUACAAAGAAAUAAAUCCGAUGUUACAUUUAAACAGUUA